rnacentral:lncRNA from 1 species
GAUGUUUUGCGUAUGGUAUAAAUAUAGCGUUCGAAUUCUAUUUCUCCUCGGUUUCCCGUGCACCAGGAGUGCGGCGCGGCGAGGUGCGUCCGUGAUCGUGGCGACGUCGUUGUCGUCGUACGUCCCGGUGGCAGCGGCCCAACAUGCCAAUGAUCACACAGGAUGCUGUGUAAAGUAUAAUAUAUUUAUAUCCAAAAAGGGGAUGUUGAUGUGCAAAAACUGGUUAAUUGCUUGGCUGGUUCUGGCGAAAUGCUAAUGGAUAAGUAAGGUUUUAUAGUACAUGUACAUGGUGUUUUGGAUCAGUGACUGCGACAACCGAUUGGUAAAUAAAUAGAAAAGCAGAGUGUUGAAGCCCUCAGUUAAUGCUUUGUGGCAAGAAGCGACCCUGCAACAUGUGAGAGAGUACUCUCCGCUGUCUUAGAAACUCGGAAAAUAGGAAAUGGAAUGAUUAACAAGAGAUUUACGGAUUAGCUUACCCCCAGUUGUAUAUGACAGGUCAGUAAUUACCACAAGUAUUCUGAUGCACUAGGAUCAUGGCAGACACAAAUUUAAAUUUUGUUACGGAGCAGGACGAUAGCUGGGUGUAGAGCUCGCGGUUGCCACGGUGACGACCGUGAAAGCGUAGGUCUAGGACAGCCUCCCGCCUACGUACCCUGCGAAAAGCGCCUACCACGGGGAUUCCCAUUUCAAUAAAGACGGCACCCAUGGUUGCUUAGGGUGGUUCCGUUUAAUAAUUAUUUUAACAUACUUACUACCCAUCCUAGGAACUCACGUGUCCAAACUUUAAUCAUUGUAAAAGUGGUCACCGCUGAAAUUAUGUCAUCCCCAUGAUAAUUGUGUUAUUAGAUCACUUUGCAAGGCACGGCAGAGGUGGUUGCACCAGGCGACUAAACGAAACAUGCUAAUUCCUGUAAUUAAUUUACUGGAAGAUUCUCGGUAUACGCAUCCACCUAUGUGACACCCUUUGGAUUUUUGAAAAUUCCUACAGAUAACAAGUUCUCUACUAUGCCUAUUUUGGUUUCAAGAAUUGAUGGCUGCAAUUGUGCCGUGUCCACCCCCGCUUGAUAAAAUUGUGUCGGUUGAAAAUCUGCAGUGUAGUAGUAGGGCAUAUCUAUUGAUCGCGUAAACGAGGUUGGGAUCAAUGAACUUUCCGAUGAUACUGCAGAAUAUGGGGGUUGAUCAAUGAAUGAGAGUUGAACAUUGCGGCACCGAAACGGAAGGGGAAGGUGAGGCCGCGAUUCGUUCUUCCCGAAUUAGAAUGAAAUCGAAUUAGAGCGAAAGACCAGCCCGAAAUAGCUGAACUUGAUUCGAAAAAUUCCAGAGGAAGAAGAAAAUUCUCAAGUUUUGUAAUCAAUGUACAUGCAAACAAUUAACUAAAAAAAUCCUAC